CCCUUAGAUGUUCUGGGCUGCACGCGCGCUACACUGAUGCACUCAACGAGAUUACGACCUUGCCCGAUAGGGUUGGGUAAUCUUUUUAAAAUGCAUCGUGAUGGGGAUAGAUUAUUGCAAUUAUUAAUCUUCAACGAGGAAUUCCUAGUAAGCGCGAGUCAUCAGCUCGUGCUGAUUACGUCCCUGCCCUUUGUACACACCGCCCGUCGCUCCUACCGAUUGAGUGCUCAGGUGAAUAAUUCGGACUGCAGCAAUGUUUGGAUCCCGAACGUUGCAGCGGAAAGUUUAGUGAACCUUAUCACUUAGAGGAAGGAGAAGUCGUAACA
rnacentral:rRNA from 1 species